rnacentral:rRNA from 1 species
CCUACGGGUGGCAGCAGUCGGGAAUAUUGCGCAAUGGAGGAAACUCUGACGCAGUGACGCCGCGUGCAGGAAGAAGGUUUUCGGAUUGUAAACUGCUUUAGACAGGGAAGAAACAAGACAGUACCUGUAAAAUAAGCUCCGGCUAACUACGUGCCAGCAGCCGCGGUAAUACGUAGGGAGCAAGCGUUAUCCGGAUUUAUUGGGUGUAAAGGGUGUGUAGACGGGAAGUCAAGUUGGUUGUGAAAUCCCUCGGCUUAACUGAGGAACUGCAACCAAAACUAACUUUCUUGAGUGCUGGAGAGGAAAGUGGAAGUCCUAGUGUAGCGGUGAAAUGCUUAGAUAUUGCGCAGAACUCCGAUUGCGAAGGCAGCAUACCGGCGGCGAUCUGACGCUGAGGCACGAAAGCGUGGGUAUCGAACAGGAUUAGAUACCCGGGUAGUC